AUUAGAGAAGCUAAGAGCUUCAUUCAGUGAAUUACGCCUUUUUCGAGUUUUCUUAAUCUUUUCUUCGCCUUCUUCUUCCAGGGUGGUUAAAAACACGUUAAAAAGCUCGUGAGCAUCUUGUUCCCUGUAAUGAUAUCAAAUUAACUGAUCUACAAAUCAAUAUAACGAAACUAAAUAGUAAUAGAAAGUGUCAUUUCCUUGGAUCCAAAACCCAUCCUUUGGAUCGAAGAGAUGACAAAAGAUCCGCAAGUUCCGCAGAUUCUUCAUUCUCGUCUCUAU
rnacentral:lncRNA from 1 species